rnacentral:rRNA from 1 species
AACGCGAAGAACCUUACCAAGGCUUGACAUGACCAGGAAUGUCGUAGAAAUACGGCAGCCCUUCGGGGCCUGGCCACAGGUGCUGCAUGGCUGUCGUCAGCUCGUGUCGUGAGAUGUUGGGUUAAGUCCCGCAACGGGCGCAACCCCUGUCCCAUGUUGCCAGCGAGUAAUGUCGGGGACUCAUGGGAGACUGCCGGUGAUAAGCCGGAGGAAGGUGGGGAUGACGUCAAGUCCUCAUGGCCCUUACAGGCUGGGCUACACACGUGCUACAAUGGCGGUGACAACGGGAUGCGAAGGGGCGACCCUUAGCAAAUCUCGAAAAGCCGUCUCAGUUCGGAUUGCACUCUGCAACUCGAGUGCAUGAAGUUGGAAUCGCUAGUAAUCGCGGAUCAGCACGCCGCGGUGAAUACGUUCCCGGGUCUUGUACACACGC